rnacentral:rRNA from 1 species
AAACUAACAAGGAUUCCCCUAGUAACGGCGAGUGAACCGGGAAGAGCUCAAAUUUGAAAUCUGGCGUCCUCAGGGCGUCCGAGUUGUAAUCUAUAGAGGCGUUUUCCGUGCCGGACCGUGUCCAAGUUCCUUGGAACAGGAUAUCAAAGAGGGUGACAAUCCCGUACUUGACACGACGACCGGUGCUCUGUGAUACGUCUUCUACGAGUCGAGUUGUUUGGGAAUGCAGCUCAAAAUGGGUGGUGAGUUCCAUCUAAAGCUAAAUAUUGGCGAGAGACCGAUAGCGAACAAGUACCGUGAGGGAAAGAUGAAAAGCACUUUGGAAAGAGAGUUAAACAGUACGUGAAAUUGUUGAAAGGGAAACGAUUGAAGUCAGUCGUGACCGAGAGGCUCAGCCGGUUCUGCCGGUGUAUUCCCCUCGGUCGGGUCAACAUCAGUUUUGUCCGGUGGAUAAGGGCGGUAGGAAGGUGGCACCCUCGGGUGUGUUAUAGCCUGCCGUCGCAUACAUCGGGUGAGACUGAGGAACGCAGCUCGCCUUUAUGGCCGGGGUUCGCCCACGUCCGAGCUUAGGAUGUUGACAUAAUGGCUUUAAA